UUCUAUAAUGUCAAGAUCAGGAGAGAGAGGGCAAAGAGAGCCUCUUCCAAAGUUUUAUGGGACGAAUGAAUAAUGUUUUUGUUGUGAAGAUUAAUGUUCGUUUGUGUUCACGACAUAAGUUUUUGGCGGGUUCUGCAGAUCUUUGAAAGAAUUUAUUCUCAUGUACCACCAAGCCAAUAAUCUUUAACAAAUUCACUAAUCUCUGGCAUGUGCUAUAUUGAUCUGAAAAUGCCUAUAUCUUUUCUAUGUUGAAAAUGAUACAAAUAGAUUAUUAAAGGUCUAUGGUCUGACUCCUUAAUUAAACUUGGAGUACUUGCAAUGCGCUGCAAGAAACAUCUCUAAUCAAGAGUAAUUCUCUGAUGGGCCAGAAGAAAACCUGAUUCAGUUUUGUUGACAAGUUACAGGACCAAUGGUGUAGUAUGGAUGCUUGUCCUGCCCCUUUUCAUACCUCUCUUCUCUCGCCUCCCUCUAUUUUGCAUGUCAAUCUUAUUCCUUUGUGAGAGCUUGUAUGUAAAGCAUGACACUUUCGAUGGAAUAUUUCACAAUUUUAUAUAAACUCAAAGCUCUUUUGCUGAUAUGGUUGCAGAUUCAAAGACUCUAAAGGAAGAGAAAACACAAAAACUUUAAAAAAUCUUAAAGCUUGACAAGUCGUUGGAUGGGGCUGUUGACGUCAUUGGUUCCAUGGAACUCUCAGCUAAAAUGCUUGCAAAAAACAAGAUCAAUUUAAAUGAGAUUUCAUAUAACUCCGCAAUGGGGCUCAUCAAACAGGUUAUAGACAUGGGAGUUCUUCUAACUGAGGUUUAUCUGGAUACCGUGGUAGAUCCUGAGAAGUACUGAAUAAAACUGUCUGAGAGGUUUGGUUCGUUAAAGUUUGUCUUCUCAAAGAAAACUGAUAGUAUGUACGUAUACUGUUGUUAGUGUAGCAAGUAUUGUGGCUAAGGUUAAUAUGUUAUGGAUUAUCACUAUUCUGUGUUUGGAUUCCCAUCAUUGGUACGUUUCAAUUGGGGAACUUGCACAACGCAUUUGAAGGGCAAUGUUGAAGUUUCAUGGUUAGUUUUUCUAAUUGCUCAUAAAAUUAUCAUUUUUGUAUAGUUAACACAGACAUUUUUGAUUUUAUAUAUCACUUAAUAGCUUAUAAAAUUAUCAUCAUUUAUUUUUGUAUAGUUAUGCAUUUGCAUUCAUAUUCUUUAUUUUAAACCAGUAAAAAAAUUUUAA